rnacentral:rRNA from 1 species
CAGAGACCUCAAGCGUUAUCCGGAAUCAUUGGGCGUAAAGCGUACCGAUAGGUCGUUUAUAAAGUCUUGGGUAAAAGCCGGAAGCUCAACUUCCGCGUUUGCUUAAGAUACUUAUAGACUAGAGGGGCAAAGAGGUGCUUGGAACCAACGGUGUAGUAGUGAAAUGCGUUGAUAUCGUUGGGAACACCGAAAGCGAAGGCAGAGCACUGGGUGCCACCUGACACUGCUAGGACGAAAGCGUGGGGAGCGAAUGGGAUU